rnacentral:rRNA from 1 species
CCUACGGGUGGCUGCAGUGGGGAAUAUUGCACAAUGGGCGCAAGCCUGAUGCAGCCAUGCCGCGUGUGUGAAGAAGGCCUUCGGGUUGUAAAGCACUUUCAGCGGGGAGGAAGGCGGUGAGGUUAAUAACCUCAUCGAUUGACGUUACCCGCAGAAGAAGCACCGGCUAACUCCGUGCCAGCAGCCGCGGUAAUACGGAGGGUGCAAGCGUUAAUCGGAAUUACUGGGCGUAAAGCGCACGCAGGCGGUCUGUCAAGUCGGAUGUGAAAUCCCCGGGCUCAACCUGGGAACUGCAUGCGAAACUGGCAGGCUAGAGUCUUGUAGAGGGGGGUAGAAGUCCAGGUGUAGCGGUGAAAUGCGUAGAGAUCUGGAGGAAUACCGGUGGCGAAGGCGGCCCCCUGGACAAAGACUGACGCUCAGGUGCGAAAGCGUGGGGAGCAAACAGGAUUAGAUACCCGUGUAGUC